UACGUAGGGGGCGAGCGUUGUCCGGAUUUAUUGGGCGUAAAGAGCUCGUAGGCGGUUUGGUAAGUUGGAUGUGAAAUCUCCAGGCUCAACUUGGAGGGGUCAUUCGAUACUGCCAUGACUAGAGUUCGGUAGGGGAGUCUGGAAUUCCUGGUGUAGCGGUGAAAUGCGCAGAUAUCAGGAGGAACACCGGUGGCGAAGGCGGGACUCUGGGCCGAUACUGACGCUGAGGAGCGAAAGCGUGGGGAACGAACAGG
rnacentral:rRNA from 1 species